GGGCUAUAAUCGAUCCAACGCACGUAGUUAACUUAAUUUUCCACAAUUCGGGCUUUACACUAGUCGAUUUGUUCCUGGUUAAAUUCCAAAAUGGCUGUUAAUAUUCAUAUAAAAUUUUGUGGAGCAUGAGGAUAUAGAGUAAAGGUAACUACAGAUUUACCGUAUGAUCAUCUCCGUGAUCGUCUGCUCAAUGCCUUCAAGCCUGGACUAGUGACAGUGACAGGCGAAGGAGACCCUCAAUAUAUGGGUUGGUUUGAAGUGUUUUUGAAUGACGAACUUAUCCAUUCCAAAAAGAACGGCGAGGGCUUUGUUGACAGUCCAGAGAAAUUGCAGAAAAUAAUCCGCACCAUUAACAAGGUCAUGAAUUAGUUUCAAUACAAAUGUCUGUCUCGGUUUGUCAAGCAGUCAGUCAGUUGAACAAGACAGGGAACGACGCUUAAUGAUGACUGGCUUUGAUUAAAAAAUGGGAAGGUCAAGGUCAUGAUAGACUAAAGGCGUUUUGUUUUCUAAGAUCGACUGAUUGAGGAAUGAUUGCUGAUUGCUAUUAAUACUUAAAAAAAAUAUAUAUAUGUAAUUAUGUAACAAUACACUGCAUGUACAAUGAA